ACUAAAAUAAUUUAAUAAAAAUAUUGGCCUUGUAAGCCAAAUUUGGGCUCCCUUUUAGUG
rnacentral:tRNA from 1 species